GUAGGGCGGGACACGUGGUAUCCUGUCUGAAUAUGGGGGGACCAUCCUCCAAGGCUAAAUACUCCUGACUGACCGAUAGUGAACCAGUACCGUGAGGGAAAGGCGAAAAGAACCCCGGCGAGGGGAGUGAAAAAGAACCUGAAACCGUGUACGUACAAGCAGUGGGAGCCUACUUGUUAGGUGACUGCGUACCUUUUGUAUAAUGGGUCAGCGACUUAUAUUCUGUAGCAAGGUUAACCGAAUAGGGGAGCCGAAGGGAAACCGAGUCUUAACUGGGCGUUAAGUUGCAGGGUAUAGACCCGAAACCCGGUGAUCUAGCCAUGGGCAGGUUGAAGGUUGGGUAACACUAACUGGAGGACCGAACCGACUAAUGUUGAAAAAUUAGCGGAUGACCUGUGGCUGGGGGUGAAAGGCCAAUCAAACCGGGAGAUAGCUGGUUCUCCCCGAAAGCUAUUUAGGUAGCGCCUCGUGAACUCAUCUUCGGGGGUAGAGCACUGUUUCGGCUAGGGGGCCAUCCCGGCUUACCAACCCGAUGCAAACUACGAAUACCGAAGAAUGUUAUCACGGGAGACACACGGCGGGUGCUAACGUCCGUCGUGAAGAGGGAAACAACCCAGACCGCCAGCUAAGGUCCCAAAGUCAUGGUUAAGUGGGAAACGAUGUGGGAAGGCACAGACAGCCAGGAUGUUGGCUUAGAAGCAGCCAUCAUUUAAAGAAAGCGUAAUAGCUCACUGGUCGAGUCGGCCUGCGCGGAAGAUGUAACGGGGCUAAACCAUG
rnacentral:rRNA from 1 species